rnacentral:rRNA from 1 species
GGGGGUAAAUUAAUAAAAAUAAAUUUAAUAAAAAAAUUUUUAAUAUUGGGGGGUAUUAAAGUAUUUUUUAAAGAAAAAAUAAAAAAAUUUAUAGUAAAUUAAUAUUGUAAAAGAAAUUUGAAAUAAUAUUGAAAAUUCAUUAAAAAAAAAGUAAAUUUAAUUUAUUGUAUCUUGUGUAUCAGAGUUUAUUUAUAAAUAUUUAAUAGAUAAUAAAAUCUCGAAUUUAAAAGAGUUAAUUAAUUAUAAAAGUUAAUGUUGAAUAAUUAUUUUAAAUAAUUAAUUAGAAAUGAAAUGUUAAUCGUUUUUAAAUAUAUCUAGUUUUUUUAGAAAAAAAUUUAAUUUUAAAUUUGAAAAAUUUUAUAUUUAAUUAAUUAAAUAUAAAAUUUCAAAAUUAAAUAUUUUAGGGGAUAAGCUUUAAUUUAGAUAUUUAUAAUAUAAUUAAUUAUUAAUAAAAUUUUUAAGAUUUAUAUUGUUUAAAAAUUAUAAUUUAUUAAAAAAAAUUUUAUAAUAAAUAAAAUUUAAUUAAUAUAUUUAAUUUUUUAUAAAAAAAUAUUUUUUAAUAGUUAAAAAAUAGAAAUAAUGAUAAAAUUAGUAUAUUAAAUUAAAUAAAAAUAUAAAUAUUUAAAUUGAAAUUAAUUUAAAGGAAUUCGGCAAAAAAUUAUAUUCACUUGUUUAUCAAAAACAUGUCUUUUAGAUAAUAAUUUAAAGUCUAAUCUGCCCACUGAUUAUAAAAAAUUAAAGGGCUGCAGUAUAUUGACUGUACAAAGGUAGCAUAAUCAUUAGUCUUUUAAUUGAAGACUUGUAUGAAAGAUUUGAUGAAAUAUAAACUGUCUCUAAUUUAAUAAUAAAAAUUAAUUUUUUAGUUAAAAAGCUAAAAUUUAUUUAAAAGACGAGAAGACCCUAUAGAGUUUUAUAAUAAUAGUAAUUAAAAUUAAAUAUAUAAUUAUAAAUUAAAAUUUUUAUUAUUAUUUUGUUGGGGUGACAGAAAAAUUAAUAAAACUUUUUUUAUAAUAUUACAUAAAUAAGUGAAUUAAUGAUCCAUUUAUAAUGAUUAAAAGAAAAAAUUACCUUAGGGAUAACAGCGUAAUUUUUUUUUUUAGUACAAAUAAAAAAAAAAGGUUGCGACCUCGAUGUUGGAUUAAGAUAAAAAUUAAAUGCAAAAGUUUAAAAUUUUGAUCUGUUCGAUCAUUAAAAUCUUACAUGAUCUGAGUUCAAACCGGUGUAAGCCAGGUUGGUUUCUAUCUUUAAAAAAUUAAAAUAUUUUAGUACGAAAGGAUCAAAUAUUUAAAAUAAUUUUAAAAAAAAAAUGAAUAUUAAUAAAUUUAUUAUUA